GACGAACGCUGGCGGCGUGCCUAAUACAUGCAAGUCGAACGCAGUGGGGACGGGUGAGUAACACGUGGGUAACCUCCCAUCAGAGGGGAUAACACUUGGCAACAGGUGCUAAACCGAUACUGGUGGAUGGACCCGGUGGGGAUUAGCUAGUUGGGGGGGUAACGGCUUACCAAGGCCACGAUGCAUAGCUGGUCUGAGAGGAUGACCGGCCACACUGGGACUGAGACACGGCCCAGACUCCUACGGGAGGCAGCAGUAGGGAAUAUUGCGCAAUGGGCGAAAGUCUGACACAGCCAUGCCGCGUGUGUGAAGAAGGCCUUCGGAUUGUAAAGUACUUUUGGCGGAGAGGCGUUACCCAAAGAGAAAGCAACGGCUAACUCCGUGCCAGCAGCCGCGGUAAUUC
rnacentral:rRNA from 1 species